GAUUCGAGACACACAGAUGUUCCAUGGGUCCUCAGGGAAUAAUAUAAAGCCACUGAAAUUAAAUACAUUUCGGCUUAAUCUUCAACUUCAUUAAGAGGUUCUUUGAAUACACAGAGGGACUUCUGUAGUGAGCCCUACAUUCUCAAUUGUACUUUUGUGUACAGUAGGGUCGCAGAAGGGAACAUUAACACAGAGAGAUCAUGGAAACGUAAACAUCCUCUCUAACUAAUAUCUUAACUCCAAGUCAAUAUCUUCCCGUUUCAUGAAAACAGUUUUUCAUGUAGUUUAUGUAGAUUAGUAUUUACUGUGGUUCUUCUGUGACUUUCUUUGGAACUGUUUUCUUUAAAGGAGCAAAAACAGACAAUGCCUGUCUAAAGUGUAAGUUAUUAACUUUUUGUUAAUCAAACUGUCAUGGAAUCAAAAUCACCACAUUUUCAAUCGUGCUGAAAAUUUUAAAGAAAUCACCCUCCCAAAAUUGCUUUACUAAUAUGUCAUCAAUAUAAAAUCAGAAACUUGUAAAUUCAAGGACUGAAAUAACAUUAAUUCCAUUACAAUAAAGAAAACAAUGUAAAAUGAUUAUUAUUAUUAAUGUAAUGUUGUAUUAAUGUAUUAUUAAUUAUUAAUGUACUCAAACUGAAUUAAUUACUGAAAUAGGUCUGCUUGUGAAGGGAGGAGCUACUGGAGGAGUUUAUUCACACUCACUGCAGAGUUUCACUACAGAACGACGCUUCAUUCAAUAUUUCAAGAGUGUCAGGACUUUAUCAUUGUAAUAUUUCUCUUGUGAAGCUGUUAGGAGAUCUGCUGAAGAAAAUGUUUGACAUGUUUAUUUUCUCCUUUUUGUUCUCAUGGAAUCUGGCUGGUGUGUUUGGUGUUGAUUCAGUGAAGUCAGUGUCAGUGACGGAGGGAGAAUCAGUAAGUCUAAAUCUUACUGAAAUACAGAGAGACGAUGAGAUAACGUGGAAAUUUAACAACAUUAUGAUAGCUAAAAUCAAUGUGAAGGACAGUAAGAGCAGGUUUUAUGAGGAUAAUGCUGAUGGUAGAUUCAGAGACAGACUGAAGCUGGAUCAGACUGGAUCUCUGAUCAUCACAAACACCAGAACCACAGACUCUGGAGAAUAUAAAGUCACCAGCAGAAGCUCAAAGAUCCCACUCAACAUCUUCAGUCUUACUGUCUAUGGUGAGUAGAGAAUUACUUACCCGCUUUUUUAAAACAUAUUUUGACAAUAAUCUCUUUCAGAAUUAUUAAGAAUACUGCCAAAUGAUAGACAAUCCUGUAAUGAUAGAUUCAUAUUCAUGUGCAAUUGAUG
ensembl:lncRNA